rnacentral:rRNA from 1 species
GAUGAACGCUGGCGGCGUGCCUAAUACAUGCAAGUCGAGCGAAUGGAUUGAGAGCUUGCUCUUAUGAAGUUAGCGGCGGACGGGUGAGUAACACGUGGGUAACCUGCCCAUAAGACUGGGAUAACUCCGGGAAACCGGGGCUAAUACCGGAUAACAUUUUGAACUGCAUGGUUCAAAAUUGAAAGGCGGCUUCGGCUGUCACUUAUGGAUGGACCCGCGUCGCAUUAGCUAGUUGGUGAGGUAACGGCUCACCAAGGCAACGAUGCGUAGCCGACCUGAGAGGGUGAUCGGCCACACUGGGACUGAGACACGGCCCAGACUCCUACGGGAGGCAGCAGUAGGGAAAUCUUCCGCAAUGGAUGAAAGUCUGACGGAGCAACGCCGCGUGAGUGAUGAAGGCUUUCGGGUCGUAAAACUCUGUUGUUAGGGAAGAACAAGUGCUAGUUGAAUAAGCUGGCACCUUGACGGUACCUAACCAGAAAGCCACGGCUAACUACGUGCCAGCCGCCGCGGUAA